rnacentral:rRNA from 1 species
AGUGAACGCUGGCGGUAGGCCUAACACAUGCAAGUCGAACGGCAGCACAGUAAGAGCUUGCUCUUACGGGUGGCGAGUGGCGGACGGGUGAGGAAUACAUCGGAAUCUACUUUUUCGUGGGGGAUAACGUAGGGAAACUUACGCUAAUACCGCAUACGACCUACGGGUGAAAGCAGGGGAUCUUCGGACCUUGCGCGAUUGAAUGAGCCGAUGUCGGAUUAGCUAGUUGGCGGGGUAAAGGCCCACCAAGGCGACGAUCCGUAGCUGGUCUGAGAGGAUGAUCAGCCACACUGGAACUGAGACACGGUCCAGACUCCUACGGGAGGCAGCAGUGGGGAAUAUUGCACAAUGGGCGCAAGCCUGAUCCAGCCAUGCCGCGUGAGUGAAGAAGGCCUUCGGGUUGUAAAGCCCUUUUGUUGGGAAAGAAAAGCAGCAGGUGAAAACCUCGCUGUUCUGACGGUACCUAAAGAAUAAGCACCGGCUAACUUCGUG